AUUGAACGCUGGCGGCAGGCUUAACACAUGCAAGUCGAGCGGAGAUGAGGUGCUUGCACCUUAUCUUAGCGGCGGACGGGUGAGUAAUGCUUAGGAAUCUGCCUAUUAGUGGGGGACAACAUUCCGAAAGGAAUGCUAAUACCGCAUACGUCCUACGGGAGAAAGCAGGGGAUCUUCGGACCUUGCGCUAAUAGAUGAGCCUAAGUCGGAUCAGCUAGUUGGUGGGGUAAAGGCCUACCAAGGCGACGAUCUGUAGCGGGUCUGGGAGGAUGAUCCGCCACCCUGGGACUGAGACACGGCCCAGACUCCUACGGGAGGCAGCAGUGGGGAAUAUUGGACAAUGGGGGGAACCCUGAUCCAGCCAUGCCGCGUGUGUGAAGAAGGCCUUAUGGUUGUAAAGCACUUUAAGCGAGGAGGAGGCUACUGAGACUAAUACUCUUGGAUAGUGGACGUUACUCGCAGAAUAAGCACCGGCUAACUCUGUGCCAGCAGCCGCCGUAA
rnacentral:rRNA from 1 species